AACGAACGCUGGCGGCAGGCUUAACACAUGCAAGUCGAGCGCCCCGCAAGGGGAGCGGCAGACGGGUGAGUAACGCGUGGGAAUCUACCCAUCUCUACGGAAUAACGCAUGGAAACGUGUGCUAAUACCGUAUACGUACUUCGGGAGCAACAUUUAUCGGAGAUGGAUGAGCCCGCGUUGGAUUAGCUAGUUGGUGGGGUAAGGGCCUACCAAGGCGACGAUCCAUAGCUGGUCUGAGAGGAUGAUCAGCCACACUGGGACUGAGACACGGCCCAGACUCCUACGGGAGGCAGCAGUGGGGAAUAUUGGACAAUGGGCGCAAGCCUGAUCCAGCCAUGCCGCGUGAGUGAUGAAGGCCCUAGGGUUGUAAAGCUCUUUCACCGGUGAAGAUAAUGACGGUAACCGGAGAAGAAGCCCCGGCUAACUUCGUGCCAGCCGCCGCCGUAACAC
rnacentral:rRNA from 1 species